CUACGGAGGGUGCAAGCGUUACUCGGAAUCACUGGGCGUAAAGCGCGCGCAGGCGGCUAUUUAAGUUGGAUGUGAAAGCCUACGGCUCAACCGUAGAACUGCAUCCAAAACUAUUUAGCUAGAGUGUGGGAGAGGAAGAUGGAAUUAGUUGUGUAGGGGUAAAAUCCGUAGAGAUAACUAGGAAUACCAAAAGCGAAGGCAAUCUUCUGGGACACUACUGACGCUGAGGCGCGAAAGCGUGGGGAGCAAACGGGAUUAGAAACCCUAGUAGUCC
rnacentral:rRNA from 1 species